GAUGAACGCUGGCGGCGUGCCUAAUACAUGCAAGUCGAGCGAACAGACGAGGAGCUUGCUCCUCUGACGUUAGCGGCGGACGGGUGAGUAACACGUGGAUAACCUACCUAUAAGACUGGGAUAACUUCGGGAAACCGGAGCUAAUACCGGAUAAUAUAUUGAACCGCAUGGUUCAAUAGUGAAAGACGGUUUUGCUGUCACUUAUAGCUGGAUCCGCGCGGCAUUAGCUAGUUGGUAAGGUAACGGCUUACCAAGGCACCGAUGCGUAGCCGACCUGGGAGGUUGUCCGGCAAACCGGAACUGAGACACGGUCCAGACUCCUACGGGAGGCAGCAGUAGGGAAUCUUCCGCAAUGGGCGAAAGCUUGACGGAGCAACGCCGCGUGAGUGAUGAAGGUCUUCGGAUCGUAAAACUCUGUUAUUAGGGAAGAACAAAUGUGUAAGUAACUAUGCACGUCUUGACGGUACCUAAUCAGAAAGCCACGGCUAACUACGUG
rnacentral:rRNA from 1 species